rnacentral:rRNA from 1 species
GUUUUUCGCUUUCCGAUGAGCCCGCGUCAGAUUAGCUAGUUGGUGAGGUAACGGCUCACCAAGGCAACGAUCUGUAACUGGUCUGAGAGGAUGACCAGUCACACUGGAACUGAGACACGGUCCAGACUCCUACGGGAGGCAGCAGUAGGGAAUAUUGCACAAUGGAGGAAACUCUGAUGCAGCGACGCCGCGUGAGUGAUGAAGGACUUCGGUUCGUAAAGCUCUGUCGUAUGGGAAUAAUAAAGUG